UAAUUUUUGACAGUUUAACCAAUAAGCGCUCGCGCUUGAGGUCUAUGAGUUCAAUACACAAAGAUCCGGGAAAUUAUUUAACUACCAUUCCUUUACCAUUUUUGUUUUUUGAUUCAAUGGUAAUGCAUAACCUUAAUAUUUGUCAGUUUCUGAAAUCUAUAUAAAUAAAGUAUUAGAAACGGAAAGAAUCAUAUUGUAGCAAUGAAAAGAAUGUAAUCAUAUAUAGAAAGUAAUUGUAAUAUUAUAGUACUACAGUGAAAAUAAUAAAUAUUAUAAUUAUUCCCAAAGUUUAUGGGACAUGUUUCUAUUUGAAAACUGUUUUGAAAAGUUUUCAUGAAAUCAGAAUAUAGUAAAUACCCAGCUAACGUUUUGAUAAUAAUUCCUUUUUAAUGAAAAUUAUUGGAUAUUUAUUAAAUGCAGGUUAAUGAUUUUUAGAAGAAAAAGAAGUUUCUAAUUUAGAGUAGGAUUGAUUUCUUUUACGAAAUAAAAGAAAGAAAAAUUAAAAAGGAAGAACUUUAAAGUUUAUGUAAAAUAAAAUGUCAAUGUUGGUGGCUAUUUAUAAUCCGAGAGAUCACCAGCAUUGUAGGUAAAUGCUGACUGCGAAGACAGCUACCCAGGGCACAUUCUCAGAUCUGCAGGCAGGGGGGCUGGUAGAUUAGGGUUACAUUAAAGAUUUAACUAAAAGUUGUGGGGAGGUGCAACAUUCAUAUCUUAUGCUAGGCACUCAUGACCUUAACUAUAGCACUGGAGAGAACUGAAGAACUAAAAUAUGAAAUUUAUACAAAAAAAAUAUUUAUUCUGUUUGUAAAAAUACUGUUGACGUUGAUUGUUGUGAGAAAUAUGAAAUCCCACAAAGAUAAUGUAUUGUAGAUCCAUCGUAAGUGGUAGUGAUAAAAUCUAUUGUAGUAGAUUAAAAUUUCAAUGUUAUAAUUGAAGAUAUAAAAAAAUGUUUUAAUGCAGUUGACAUGUGACAGUAAGCUUUUAUAUUUAGAAAAAUUAAUGUUAUUUUAAGCACAAAAAUUCUGGUACAGUACUUAAUGCAGUAUUUAUUCAGAUGUAUGUAUUAUUAUAAUAAAUAAAAAGAAUGUGUAUUA